GAUGAACGCUGGCGGCGUGCUUAACACAUGCAAGUCGAACGGAAAGGCCCAGCCUUUCUUGGGUGCUCGAGUGGCGAACGGGUGAGUAACACGUGGGUAAUCUGCCCUUCACUUUGGGAUAACCCUUGGAAACUGGGUCUAAUACCGGAUAGGACCUCCUUUUGCAUGGUGUGGGUUGAAGUUUUUCGGUGUGGGGUGAGCUUGCGGCCUGUUAGCUUGUUGGUGGGGUAAUGGGCUACCAAGGCGUCGGAGGGUAGCCGGCCUGCGAGGGUGGACGGCCACAAUGGGAAUGAGGUAAGGGCCAGAAUCCCAAGGGGGGGAGCAGUGGGGAAGAAUGGAAAAAGGGGGGAAAGCGGAAUGCAGGAAGGCGCGGGGGGGGUGACGGGCUUCGGGUUGGAAACCCCGUUCGGCAGGGAAGAAGCGGUAUGUGACGGUACUGGGUGAAGAAGCACCGGCUAACUACGUG
rnacentral:rRNA from 1 species